UACGAAGGGGGCUAGCGUUGUUCGGAAUCAAUGGCGUAAAGGGCUCGUAGGCUGCCGAUCAAGUCGGGGGUGAAAGCCUGUGGCUCAACCACAGAAUUGCCUUCGAUACUGUUUGGCUUGAGACCGGAAGAGGUAAGUGGAACUGCGAGUGUAGAGGUGAAAUUCGUAGAUAUUCGCAAGAACACCAGUGGCGAAGGCGGCUUACUGGUCCGGUUCUGACGCUGAGGCGCGAAAGCGUGGGGAGCAAACAGG
rnacentral:rRNA from 1 species